UACGGAGGGGCUAGCGUUGUUCGGAAUUACUGGGCGUAAAGCGCACGUAGGCGGCUUUGUAAGUUUAGAGGUGAAAGCCUGGAGCUCAACUUCAGAAUUGCCUUUAAGACUGCAUCGCUUGAAUCCGGGAGAGGUGAGUGGAAUUCCGAGUGUAGAGGUGAAAUUCGUAGAUAUUCGGAAGAACACCAGUGGCGAAGGCGGCUCACUGGACCGGGCAUUGACGCUGAGGUGCGAAAGCGUGGGGAGCAAACAGG
rnacentral:rRNA from 1 species